rnacentral:rRNA from 1 species
GAUGAACGCUGGCGGUAUGCCUAAUACUUGCAAGUCGAGCGAACAGACGUGGAGCUUGCUCCUCUGACAUUAACGGCGGACGGGUGAGUAACACGUUGAUAACCUACCUAUAAGACUGGGAUAACUUCGGGAAACCGAAGCUAAUACCGGAUAAUAUAUUGAACCGCAUGGUUCAAUAUUGAAAGACGGUUUUGCUGUAACUUAUAGAUUGAUCCGCGCCGCAUUAGCUAGUUGGUUAGGUAACGGAUUACUAAGGCAACGGAGCGUAGCUGACUUGAGAGGGUGAUCGGCCACACUGGAACUGAGACACGGUCCAGACUCCUACGGGAGGCAGCAGUAGGGAAUCUUCCGCAAUGGGCGAAAGCCUGACGGAGCAACGCCGCGUGAGUGAUGAAGGUCUUCGGAUCGUAAAACUCUGUUAUUAGGGAAGAACAAAUGUGUAAGUAACUAUGCACGUCUUGACGGUACCUAAUCAGAAAGCCACGGCUAACUACGUG